UACUGCGCAUGUAUUAAUGUUUUACCAUAGGACAAACCUGUGAAAGACAUUAAGAAUAAAAGGCUGUUUAUCUCAUUGAACGAAGAACCAUCCAAACAACUUCCGCCGAAAAUCAAAGCUAUGUAGCCUCCACGUACAAACAAUCACUGAAGGCACAAACGCGUAGAUGGAUUUCAAAUACAGCGCGUGGAUGGUUUUAACUCUCACAAUAUCUUUUUCCAAAAGCGGAAAUGGCAACAAACUGAGAAUAUUUCGUCAUGAACGAGAUAUAUUUACCAACUUGAAUUAUUCAAGUUCACAGCCUGAUAGGAAUUAUAAUACCAUCUGUAUGAAGUACAACGCCGAAUGCCAUUUCAUCACUAAGUGUCGUCAUUGUGUGUGUAAAGAAGGAAUGAGCACUUUCGUCAUUAAUGGCAAUGGUGAGAAUAACAAAGGAAGUUGUAUUAAAGACGAAGAAUUGAAUCUAGAAUCAGAGUCAAACAUCGAUGCAUUUACUCUUGAAAAUAGUGAAGACGAGGAUGCUUGAAACAAGCUGGAAGACGUGUGAUUGUUACGACUUGUGGAAAUUCAUUGGAUAAGAAAUGGAUACUUCUCAACAAUAAGCAACUCAUGAAUGUGAAAUCACUUCGUUGUAUUACAAGAAGUAACAGGAAAGAUAGACAAGUAAUAAUGACGCAAUGUGUUAAAGACAGAGGUCGGCAAAAACUGAUGUGCGAGUCCCACCCACGACACAACGAAACAGAUUCCCCCGUGAUACUUUAUUUUAAAUUAAGUUUUAAGCGAGAAGAAUUGUACCUAGAACAAGAUGACAACGAAAGAGGCAUUUUCACGUCCAAUUCAAGUCAGCACUGGACAGCGCAUCAAAAUGGGGACCAAGUUGAUGUUUGCAGUAAAGUCACAGAGUACAAAGGUUGUUAUCGCCUUUCUGAUGGCAAUUUCUGGAAAUAUUUGAAUUUUAGCAAUAAUUCAAGUAUGGAAAAAUUCUCUAUUUUUGCACCUAUCAACAGAGAAAAUAAAAAUUGCGAUGUGGAACAAAACUUCAAAUAUACCAGAGACAGCAAUAAAAUAUAUAAGGGUUCAAAUAAUCUUUUCACAUUGAACAGCACUGGCCAGACUACCAAAGAAAUCAAGGUAAAAACGUUAUACAAAACGACACAAUCAAGGUGUAUAGAUCAAGUUAUCCAGCAUGAUAAUACGUAAAAAGACAUCGUACAUUACAAAAGGUCAAAAUUAAUAAGUUUUUAUGGACCCAGCCGCUGCUGGACAGUCCUUUGUUCUUCUAUAGCAACAUUUCGUAAACAAAUCAAGACUUAAAAAGUAACAGAAACAUUCAUAAAUAUUCUAC